ACCGGGAUGAUGCAAAAUAUUGUGUUUUGUUCUCAGCUGUCAAAAAGUGUAACACACGUGUUCCAGCACAGCCUUUGUGUACUUUCACUUCUCCAUACUGUCCAUUGGAAAUCCUGUUUGUUCCUUUUUGAUUUCAGUCCAUGUGUCCAAAGCAAACUUCUGUCCCACACUUUCUCUGCUGACUCUUCACCGAUGCUCAGAUGAUCUCAGAUGAUUUCACCAGAACUCAUCAAAAUUCGGGCUCCACAGAAACCCAGACGUCACUAAACAAGCUCUGCCUCCCUCUGCUCCGUCAGCUGACGUCCUCUCUACACCACCUGCUGUGUUUUAUCCUGCAAAAACACAUUUAAGAAGCGUUGCACCGAGUAACGGGAGGAACUGCUAUAAAUCCAUUUAAAGGAGGUGGUGCUGAGUGCUGUGACUGGGGUCCCACCACUGACAUCACGGGUGGAGGACAUGUUGGAAAACUGCUACAAAGUGCUGUGCAGCCAGCAGAGCUUCCAGUCUGUCCUGUGUGUCAUACAGGCUCUCACACUUAGUGUUUCUGUGACACAUUGAAGAGAAGUUUGUGUUGUUCACAGUUGUACUGAGUGACAGCUGACAUGACCUGACAGGAAUAAUGUGUCUGUGCUGAAUGAGAAGUAACACACAAUGAAGUCUUGAUGCAUCUCCAUCAUCCAGGAAAGUGAGUCUGUUGCUUCUGUUCAUCUGGACGCAGCGUUUUGUGGGAGAAACGUGUCGUCAUCAUCAGGUGACGUCUUCAGUCUCAGCUGCAGGUUUCAGUCUUACAAACAGGACAUUUGCAUAAAGACUGAAACCUGCAGCUGCAGGAACGAUGGGCUGGGAGCUCCGUUCCUUCAUCUUAAUUAUGCAGAUUCUCAGGACCAUUGAUCAACAACCACUGAUCCAUGUCCAUGAGUCCCAUUCACAGAGAUGUGGGAAUGGCUGCAGUCACAGCAUGUAAGAUGGAAAUAAAUGAGAAGGAUUUAGCUGAA